rnacentral:rRNA from 1 species
AACGUAGGGUGCAAGCGUUGUCCGGAAUUACUGGGUGUAAAGGGAGCGCAGGCGGACCGGAAAGUUGGAAGUGAAAACUAUGGGCUCAACCCAUAAAUUGCUUUCAAAACUGCUGGCCUUGAGUAGUGCAGAGGUAGGUGGAAUUCCCGGUGUAGCGGUGGAAUGCGUAGAUAUCGGGAGGAACACCAGUGGCGAAGGCGACCUACUGGGCACCAACUGACGCUGAGGCUCGAAAGCAUGGGUAGCAAACAGG